UCAUGUUCAUAGACACACAUGAACAGAUACCUUCUAUGAGUAAUUAGUAAGAUAAGCAAUUUUUAAAAAUUCCACAGAAUCCUAGUCUGUGUUUAGAUUUUAUGCUUAGGGUCUUUCAUUACUGAGCUGGGUAGGACCUCAGAGGUUAACUGUUUCCUGAGUGUGUUGGGACUAGAUCGUUUCAAUUAAUUCAUGUGUGUUGCCCCUGUAAAAGCCUAAGACUUUUUCAGAAUAGGUGGUGGCUAACUAAGGGUGGAGUCAGGAUUGCUAGUGAGAUUUUCUUAGCUCCAAAAUACUUAUCUUCUCUGAUUAUAAAUGAAACCCUGAAAAGUAGGGAUAAUUUUUCAUAGAGAUAGGCUUGAAUGCUGAUAUGAAAUUAACUGUUUGCAGAUAGAUUUGAAGUGGAUUUUGACAAGGGUGAGGUUGAAGAAUAUAUGAUGAUAUUGUUUAGGCUGGAAUGGUUUUUCUUUAAUUAAUGUCAGUUUUAUUUUCAGGGUGAUCGUGGACUUCCUGGUUUUCCUGGGCUUCAUGGCAUGCCAGGAUCAAAGGGUGAAAUGGGUGCCAAAGGAGACAAAGGAUCACCUGGAUUUUAUGGCAAAAAGGGAAGUAUAGAUCACACAGCAAAGUAUUCAUAUUGAACUUUUAAUGUAAUGGAAACAGAAAACUUGAAUUGCAGUUCUAACCCAACGUUAGAACAGUUAGCUUUGUUCACCCUUCUUAGGGGAUUAAUUCAGAACAAUGAAAAAAGAAAAAAAAGAAAAAAGAAUUGGUGACUGC
rnacentral:sRNA from 1 species